AUAGCUAUUAAUGGACAGCCACUUCUUAAAGAAUGCUUUAGAUUGCAGGACUUUCCAGGUCAAUUUGCAAAGCAACAUAUUCAAGAAAACGAGGAAAUGGCAACUCUUAGGUUUUCAGACAGAUCAUGGCCGGUGAAGCUCUUAAUCUAUAUGCAUGAAAUCCGGGUGUUCUUUGCUGCUGGUUGGCCCGUAUUUGCAGAACUCAUCAGUGUAUGGGAGAUAUCUGUGUUUGAGCUCAUUGAUACGUCUCCAUUUUCAUUAAUGCCGGUAAGGAGCUGAUUUACAGCAUUGAUAUAAAUCCAGGAUUCCUAAUUCUGCCUCCUUUGCUCAGUAGUUGCGAAUCAAUGAAAAGUGGGAUCGAACCAUCUACAUGAAGAGCAAGCCAUUCUGAGCUGGAUUUUCAUGGUCCUACACUUUCAAGGCCUCUCACAUCUCCCCUAAACUGGCCAGCAAUAUUGAUUUAGAGCGUCCCUUUUUCAAGCCGGUG